AUUGAACGCUGGCGGCAGGCCUAACACAUGCAAGUCGAACGAGGGGCGGCCGGGUGAGGAAUGUCUGGGAAACUGCCCGAUGGAGGGGGAUAACUACUGGAAACGGUAGCUAAUACCACAUACCAUCGGAUGUGCCCAGAUGGGAUGAGCUAGUCGGUGGGGUAAAGGCUCACCUAGGCGCAGAGCCCUAGCUGGUCUGAGAGGAUGACCAGCCACACUGGAACUUAGACACGGUCCAGACUCCUACGUGAGGCAGCAGUGGGGAAUAUUGCACAAUGGGCGCAAGCCUGAUGCAGCCAUGCCGCGUGUAUGAAGAAGUCCUUCGGGUUGUAAAGUACUUUCAGCGAGGAGGCGUUACUCGCAGAAGAAGCACCGGCUAACUCCGUGCCAGCAGCCGCGGUAAUAC
rnacentral:rRNA from 1 species